AGUGAACGCUGGCGGUAGGCCUAACACAUGCAAGUCGAACGGCAGCACAGUAAGAGCUUGCUCUUACGGGUGGCGAGUGGCGGACGGGUGAGGAAUACAUCGGAAUCUACUUUUUCGUGGGGGAUAACGUAGGGAAACUUACGCUAAUACCGCAUACGACCUACGGGUGAAAGCAGGGGAUCUUCGGACCUUGCGCGAUUGAAUGAGCCGAUGUCGGAUUAGCUAGUUGGCGGGGUAAAGGCCCACCAAGGCGACGAUCCGUAGCUGGUCUGAGAGGAUGAAGCCGCCCCGUGGAGUGGAGACGCGGUCCAGGCCCCUAGGGGAGGCAGCGGUGGGGAAUUUUGGAAAAAGGGGGGAAGCCUGAACCAGCCAAGGCGGGGUGGUGAAGAAGGCCUUCGGGUGGGAAAACCCUUUUUGUGGGAAAAAAAGCCAGCGGUUGAAACCCCGCGUGUUUGAAGGGAACCCAAAAAAAAACCCCGGGCAAAUUUGGG
rnacentral:rRNA from 1 species